CGAUGUAAAUUUACCAACGGAGCGAAACCACCUGAUGGGCGUGAGGUCGCACUCCUCCCCGCCCGUUCCAAUCCCGUCGACGCCAACGCCCCACUCUACUCUCUCCGACGCUGCAACAGAUCCUGGCACCUGCUAUGCCGCCAUGCCCUCAACGUCCGGCUCCGGUGCAGGGAUGAAGGUCAAGGUCGCCGAGCCAUACUUCCACAAGUUAUCCAUGGCUGCUUUUGAUUCCGCCCAGACUAGCUAGUUCAAGAUCAAUUGAGUGCACUGUGGAUCCAUAGUUGCAAAACAAUUCUGGAUAUUUCCUUGGCUUAAUUUCUGUAUAACAAGAGCCCCGCGAGCGAGCUCUCCACCACAAGUAACUGGAAUCGACCGCCGCCUCCCUACCAGAGCGCACAAGUCACCGAAACCUCCAGAUCUAUUCAUGUUCCCGGUGUAGCAGACCUGAAGGUGCCUCACAUGGUUCGGUGAUUUCCUUUUAUCUGUGAACUAUUGUCGUUACUAUAGGAGCAGUCUCGAUUGUUAAAGAUCACCAAUUUCAUCUGUUUCUUCCUUUCCUGCGUGUUUGAUCCAAUUCUUUGAUAUUGUGGAUUUGAAUAGGAUAGGUUACAUUUUUUUUGCGGGUGUAAUAGGAUAGGUUACGUUGAUUGUGGAAUUGACGUACCUGCAUUUGUGAAUGAUCUGACUUAGGUAGACUUAGUUGCUAGGGCUCGUCUUGGUUAAAAUAAUUAGCAAACAUAGUUGGAAAAAAAAAUUAAAGGAGGUUAGUCAGAAAUUCAGAAUCCUAUUUCUGUGACGUUUUUCUUAAAAAACAAGCUGCAGCUUGGUAUUGCAAGUGGCAAGGAGAGUACAGAUUAGCUGCCUAUAAUAUUGGUCUUGUUUGCUUUUAGAGUAUAUUACAGAUUUAUUAUGUAAUGGGAGUGUAUAUUUGACGUUUGACUGAAAAUCAAUUGGACAUCAGUCAAGUUUUCCAACCAAUAAAGAACGACACUUGUAUGUAUUUGUGUGUCUCUUUUUUGUGCAUCUCCGCUGUGUGUAUGUCAUCAGGAGAAAGGCCAAUCCUAAUCGGGUUGGAACUAGACUCGGUUUCAAACAUAUGUGAGCUACAACUAUCGCAAUACCACAUCCAAGAAAAAGCCUACUGAUCCAUCAACGUAUCCUCUGUAGGUCUUGCAUCAACGUACAGCCUAAUUACAAUCUUUUGGGAGAAAAAUACAGUGAUAAGUAGACUGCCAUUAGAGUCUGCUGGUAACUUGCAGUCUACUCACAGUGAUAUCUUAAAAGUUAAAGACUAGAUACACAAAACUUACAGUCAAAUUAGCACUGGAACUUCUACAAUUACAGUGUAUUUACGCAUAAUUUGCACUCAUAUUGUGUGAUUAUUACAGUGACAUUAUGACCGGAACUUGUCGAGUUUCAAAGACACCCAUUUGCAGCGCCGGGUCAUGAGUUGGUAUGUAUGUACGCGGGUUGGACUGGACCCAUUUGCAUUCUAUGACAAGCAGGUGUAAAACUUUGAAAUUACAGUAAGAAAACCUUGCAAGUAUAGUACCUCGUGCCAUCUACGGAUUAUAGACACAACUGAACCAACAUACACACUGCCUAUCAUACAGAUGACCACACAUUGAACCAACAUACGCACUGCGCUAUCCAUAGUGUGAGCAGUUUAACAUCUCUCUAAUGCAAAAAGGCCUUCUUCUCCAUCAUUGUUAAUUCACAGUCUGAAAGAAAGGAUCAAACAAGAAUUAGACCAAUCAUUAAGAUAUACAGCACAAAGGGAAGCAAUUAACACUGAGCCAAAAAGCUGAAAAUACAUAGUACAAGAGACAGUGAAUGAUGUAGACGAGCACAGUAAAUUAGGCAACCUGGAGCCAAAAGUACAACUAAAAAAAGACUAGAAAUCAUGAACCUCUUUACUGUAAAUUUGAAGUAUAAAAAAUAGAAGUGCUUACAUCAUCAAAGAAAUCAGUAACAAGAAGUCUAGAACUUAUCCACCCUGUUGAACUCGCAGAAAAACUAUCAUUAGCAUACUUCUGUCCUUAAGUUCGGAAUGUCAGCGCUUGAAAAAUGGUUAACAACUUGAGUCCUUGUAGUCCAUACUUCCAUAAUCUUGAAUGUAAAGACACCACAAUUGUGUGCCUGGUUUCACAUGAAUAAAGGAAGAAAACAAAAAAAAAUACCAACGUGGGAGUAAUAAAAGCAUCACAGAAUCCUAUAAAGUGUGUAAUCCGUUCGAAUAAAAGAAAAUACCAGAGAUAAAUCUUAAAAGAUAACAACAUAGUGCCUUCAAAAGGGAAACAAAUUUAGAAGCAAAUUGAUUAAAAAUGUACUAACAGAUCACUAAACUGCAAGUGAAAUUCAGAAUGAUCAUUAAAAGAUGGAUCAAGAAAAGCAAAGGCUCUUCCCUUCAAACAAACAAAGAAACAAAACCAAUGUUUUCGAACGGUUAUGGGGAAGUACAGCUGCAACUAGGAAGAGUAAUAUGAAGAAAAAUGUAUAUAUUGUAAAUGAGAAAUAAAAAAAGAAAUGGUAAAGACAAACACCAAAAAAGAAGGCAGAAAUUAAAUUACUUACAUGGAGGAAAUGAGAAAUAAAAAGAAAGGGCAAAGACAAACACCAA